UACAGAGGUCUCAACCGUUGUUCGGAUUUACUGGGCGUAAAGGGCGCGUAGGCGGCAAUUCAAGUCAGCUGUGAAAUCUCCGGGCUUAACUCGGAACGGUCAGCUGAUACUGCUUUGCUAGAGUGCAGAAGGGGCAAUCGGAAUUCUUGGUGUAGCGGUGAAAUGCGUAGAUAUCAAGAGGAACACCUGAGGUGAAGACGGGUUGCUGGGCUGACACUGACGCUGAGGCGCGAAAGCUAGGGUAGCAAACGGG
rnacentral:rRNA from 1 species